GAUGAAGAACGUAGCGAAAUGCGAUAAGUAGUGUGAAUUGCAGAAUUCAGUGAAUCAUCGAAUCUUUGAACGCACAUUGCGGCCAUAGGUAUUCCUUUGGCCAUGCCUGUUCGAGCGUCAUUUACACCCUCAAGCCUAGCUUGGUGUUGGGCGCCUGUCCCGCCGUUUUCGCGCGCGGACUCGCCUCAAAGUCAUUGGCGGCGGUCGUGCCGGCCCCCUCGCGCAGCACAUUUGCGCUUCUCGGAGGCCCGGCGGAUCCGCGCUCCAGCAAGACCUUUCACGACUUGACCCCGGAUCAGGUAGGGAUACCCGCUGAACUUAAGCAUAUCAAUAAGCGGAGGA
rnacentral:misc_RNA from 1 species